CUACGAGAGGCAGCAGUGAGGAAUAUUGCACAAUGGGGGGAACCCUGAUGCAGCAACGCCGCGUGGAGGAUGACGCAUUUCGGUGUGUAAACUCCUUUUAUAUGUCAAGAAAAUGACGGUAGCAUAUGAAUAAGCACCGGCUAACUCCGUGCCAGCAGCCGCGGUAAUACGGAGGGUGCAAGCGUUACUCGGAAUCACUGGGCGUAAAGGACGCGUAGGCGGGUUGGAAAGUCAGGUGUGAAAUCCUACAGCUUAACUGUAGAACUGCACUUGAAACUUCUAACCUAGAGUAUGGGAGGGGGAGAUGGAAUUAGUGGUGUAGGGGUAAAAUCCGUAGAUAUCACUAGGAAUACCUAAAGCGAAGGCGAUCUCCUGGAACAUUACUGACGCUAAGGCGUGAAAGCGUGGGGAGCAAACAGGAUUAGAUACCCCUGUAGUC
rnacentral:rRNA from 1 species